CUGAGCCACCCAGUACACCAGAGGAAGAUCAUCCACUUUUGGACCAUGGUUCACUGCAGUUAACUGAAAUCGUAGAAAGCAUAACCAUGGAGAGAAGGAGGGAGAGAAUCCCAAGCAGUCUGUGUGCCAUCAGUGUGGAGGCAAUGUGGGGCCUGAUCUGACAAACCAUGAGAUCGUGACCUGAGCCUAAAUCAAGAGCCAGAUGCUUAACUGAGCCACCCAGGUAUCCCUUAUGUUUAGUCUUGAAAAAUUGUUUAAAUUCAGCAUUUUGUGUGUGUGUUCAGAUAUAAAAUUCAGCCCUUCCUAUCCCCCUUACCUCUGAUUCCAAGUGAAAUUGUUUUUGGAGUCCUAUUUAUCUGGUGUGAUGGUGGUGCACCAAGGUAUAUGUAUAUUACUUUCAGAAGCAAAAUUGUAUAAUCUGCUUCUUGGUUUCAGAUACUAUUCCCUAAUACUAUGUAUCCAGCCCUGACUUUUCCUCUUAACCACAAAUUCAUAUAUCCAAGUGCCUAUUUGACAUCUGCCUGUGGAUGUUCAAUUGGCAUCAUAAAUUUAGCCUAACUAGCAAAGAACUCUUGAUUCUCCCUACAACUCCAAACUUAUUUUUCCUCUAGUUUUCCCCGUUUCAGCAAAUGGCACUGUCAUCCACCCAGUUGCCCAAGUCUAACACAGGAAUUGUCAUAGAUUCUUCUUUUUUAUACUAACCAUAUCUAACAUAUUAGCAAGAUCUGUUGAUUCUACUUCUAGGAUGUCUUAAAACCAUCCUGAUCUCUCAUGUUUCCUUUGCUUUCCCUGUAGUCCAAGUCAACACCACCUGCAUUGUGCAGUAGCCACCUACCUGAUCUGCUUCCACUCUUUCCCUUUACAAUUGUGUACACAGCCAGUGUGGUCUUUUUUGAAAUGCAAAUCUGAUUAUUUUACUUUCCUGCUUAAUACCCUCCAAUAAAACCCAAACUUAUUAUUAUGGCCUAUAGGCUUUUGCCUACCUCUUCAGUUUCAUCUCUUAGCCCUUCACCUAAUCUGGUUCAUUACAUUUCUGUCACCCUGGCAUUUUCUCUGCUUUUUGGAGAGAAGUUCAUUCUGUCCUUAGGACCUUUGCACCUGGAGUUCUCUUUGCCUAGAGUGCUUUAAUCUCAGAUGUUACAUGGCUAUCUCCUUUGUGUCUUCAGAUCUCAGCUCAGAUAGGCCUUCCCUGGCUGCUGGACUUGAAUUUGGCACACUGUUAAUAUAUUAUUUUAACAUUUGUUACAUAUCCUAUCUGAAAUUAUCCUGUUUAUUUUUGUUUGUCUCCCCCAAAAGAUUGUAAGUUGUACAGAAGAGGGAUUGUACGGUCUUAAUUAUUACUGUAUCCCAAGUGCCUGAAUAGGUCCUGGCAUACAGUAGGUUCUUAAUAUCUAUUUGUUGAAUGACUGAUUCCUUUUCUCAUGGUUAUAGAGCCAGUGUAAGUGUUGGAGCUGUGGUGAACUGAGAGUACUGAGUUAGAAACUGAAAGGCAUCAGAGUUGCUGGUGUUCGUAUAUUCAUAGCAGACUGAAUCAUUAUAAUCCCAAACUGGAAACAACCCAAAUGUCCAUUGAUAGAUGAACAGAUAAACAAAUUGGGCUCCAUACAAUAGACUAUUAUUUGGCCAUUAAAAGGAAUGAAGCGCUGGAGUGCCUGACUGGCUCAGUUGGAUGAACAUGCAACUUUUUUUUUUUUUUUUUUAACGUUUAUUGUUAGAGAGAGAGAGCAGGGGAGGGGCAGA